rnacentral:misc_RNA from 1 species
GAUGAAGAACGCAGCGAAAUGCGAUACUUGGUGUGAAUUGCAGAAUCCCGUGAACCAUCGAGUCUUUGAACGCAAGUUGCGCCCGAAGCCAUCAGGUUGAGGGCACGUCUGCCUAGGCGUCACAUAUCGUUGCCCAAUGCCUAUUGCAGUGCAAUAGGAAUUUCUAGGGCGAAUGAUGGCUUCCCGUGAGCGUUGUUGCCUCGCGGUUGGUUGAAAAUCGAGUCCUUGGUAGGGUGUGCCAUGGUAGAUGGUGGUCGAGUUAGAACGAUACCGAUCAUGUGCAUGCUCCCCAAAAUAUGGCCUCUAUGACCCACACGCGUCGUUUGACGCUCAUGACGAGACCUCAGGUCAGGCGGGGCUACCCGCUGAAUUUAAGCAUAUCAAUAGGCGGAGGA